UACCUGCAGCCCAAGUGGUGCUCGUUAUUAUUGGGUCUAAAACGUCCGUAGUCGGCUGAGUAGAUGCCCGGGUAAAUCGCAGCGCUCAACGUUGCGAAUUCCGGGUAGACCGCUCGGCUAGGGAGUGGGAGAAGUGCGAGGUACUCUGAGGGUAGGGGUAAAAUCCUGUAAUCCUUGGGGGACCACCAGUGGCGAAGGCGUCGCACUAGAACACGUCCGACGAUCAGGGACGAAGCCCUGGGGCGCAAAC
rnacentral:rRNA from 1 species